rnacentral:lncRNA from 1 species
AUUUGAGAUCGGGGAAGAGAGAGAAAGAAUGAUAGAGAAAGAGAGAGAGAGAGAGAGAGAGAGAGGCAUCGGAGUAGCACAGUACAGGGGAUUAGGGAGGAGCGAAGGCGCUAAGAAGAGGGGACCCACGGGUCAGAUGGAUGAGAGAGGGGAAAAAAAAUUAUUGGGGCCCACAUCCGAAAUCAAAGGGAAGCUGCAAAACAGUUAAGGGUUCGCCCUUUAAUGUUAUUGUAUAGAUACUAGUGCAGUGACCCGCGCGAUGCGGCGGGUAAGUAAUAUUCGAUAUUUAACUUAUAAUAGUUGAUUAUCUUCGUUA